GGAAACUUGGAAACUACCGUUGGAUCGAGAAAUGGACGUCCGAGAUNAUCUCGGACGUCCAUUUCUCGAUCCAACGGUAGUUUCCAAGUUUCC
rnacentral:pre_miRNA from 1 species